GAUCCGAGCCAUGAGAGCUUGCAGCCUCCUUGGCCAGGCUCGCCGCCACCACGCGUGGUUGGCACUUCCCGCCCUGCAGGGCCUGGCACACAGUAGGUGCUUGGCAGAAGUUUAUUGUCUGAUUAACAAAAUGCUCUUUUCCAGUCCAGUGUGGAGCACCUGACAGAGAAAAUGAAGACCACCAUCCAGAGGGGCCUUGUGCUCAGGAAAAAAAUUGACCACUGAUGAUUCCAUUUGUGUGCUGGGAAUAAGCAAAGAAACGUUAUUUUUCAACCUGUGGCAGAGCUGAAGAAGCAAACGUAUUUUGAGUAAAUUGGAGUUUUAUUGCCUUAGCAAACCCAGCCAAUAGGCACAGGAUUCCCAAAGAACAGUGGUGGCUCAAGCUGCGGCCCCUCAUGAAGAUCUUGGCCAAGUACAAGGCCAGCUACGACGUGUCGGACUCAGGCCAGCUAGAGCACGUGCAGCCCUGGAGCGUCUGACCCAGUCCUGCCUGCGUGGGCCUGCAACCUGGACUCACCGUGGACCAUCUGUUUUUGUAACACUUAAGUUAUUUAUCAGCACUUUAUGAAAGUAUUAUUGACAUUAAUACCUAACCAGCAAGCACCUGUCACCGCCCAUGUGCCCCACCAGCUCCAGUACAUGCUGUCUGUGGACUGUGUCUCAUGCUUUCAGAUGUGUGUAUUAAAUGUUUGCCUACAACUGCAA